GGAGGAACCUCUGGAGAGAACCGUUAAAUCGGUCGCCGAAGGAGCAAGCCCUGCCCAUGUGCAAGGUGAAACUCUCAGGCAAAAGGACAGAGGAGUGGAA
rnacentral:ncRNA from 2 species